GGAGAAAGAGAGACCGAGAGAAAAGUGAGACAGAAAAAUAGAGAGGCAGAGAACGGAGAAGGAGAGAGAGAUCGAGAGAUCAAAAACUGCAGUUUGCAAUCAAGAAUGAAAAGAUGUCUCUCACUUCCUGUUAGAUUUUCUGCCAUCACCGUAAGCCUCCACUCGCUACCCAACCAUCGGAAUCACUACUGAUUGGUAUUUUGGGUCAGAUUUGGUUUUGAUUAAGGGAUACGAAGAUAGAGGAACCAAGCAGAGUUCGUAGCGAUACAGAGAAAGGGAAGGAGACAAAAAAAAAAGUUUGCGGCGCAGUGGAGAUUCGACUGAAACUGAAAGGUCAAGAAGGAUUCCCCAAAUUUUCUUUUGUUGGAUUUAUAUUUUGGGUUAGAAUCCAAUCCUACUUUUAAUUUUGAUUUUAGGUUUUUGAAUGUUUUGGUAGAUAUUUAGAUUCCAAAAACAGCGAUUGAUAGAGAUCAUAAGGCAGAGAGAGAAACAUUUGAGGACUGCCAUUACCGCCAUUCUGGCCUUCCACAAUCAUGAUUCAUCCGGUCUCUCGCUGACUUGCUAUCAGCAAGUUUCGAUUUUGUAAAACAUUUUUUACUUUUUGAGAAAGAAAUUGGCGUUAAAUAUUAUUUAGGCUUGGGAUUGUUUUUGCUAUACGUAUUUGGCUGAGAUUAAGGUAUUUUGAUUAUUUUGCUUUGAUUGUUUGUGCUUAAACCUUAUGACUGACAACCUUUUGCUGUUUACAUAUAAAGAAACCGAAACAUUUAGAAUCAACAUUAAGAGAAAGUUGGUAACUGUAAGUCACGCACAAAGACGAAGAGAUGGACAGCGAGAAAGAGGAAACAGAGUAUUCCCACCCAUUGGCAGGUAACUAUUGACUGUCAUUCACAUGGGCAACAAAGCUCUACAUCAACUUUGACAUUUCAAACAAAGCUCUACAUCAACUUUGACAUUUCAAAAGUCACAAAGGAAAUUAUGCCAAAAGGACCUCCUAAAGGAUUGGAUGGAUAACUUUCUUACAUAAUAGAAAAAUAGUUGCUAAAAUAGAAGACUUGGAUGCAUAAAAAAUGUUUAAGAAUUAUGCACCAAGUUCUAUUCCUUAUACCCUUUUCUUAUUUACUUAGUUUUCUGUUUUAUUUCAGAUUAUGAGAGAUUUAAAUUUCUGUAUUUAGGCUAUGGUUUUGUAAUCUAAGCAUCCUAAGAUUCUUAUAUCAACAUGAAUUUAAGUUUUGUAAUAUAUGUGAUUCUAAUUU